GCUGGGUCUAGGGAGAUUAAAUAAACCUAGAGAAAUGAUUCGGUAAUCACAGUAUUAGUUACAGCAGCUCCAUCACAUUGCUUGUCUUUACAGUUCCUUGCACCUUUUAUUGUCUUCUUCUUUGUUUGUCAUCCAUGGCCAUAUCUGUUGUGAGAACUCUACACGGUAUCUCUGGAGUUGGUUUAUAGUAUCAGGCUCCUUCCUCAUG